rnacentral:rRNA from 1 species
GAGGAAUAUUGGUCAAUGGACGGAAGUCUGAACCAGCCAAGUAGCGUGCAGGAAGACGGCCCUAUGGGUUGUAAACUGCUUUUGUAUGGGGAUAAAGUCAAUCACGUGUGAUUGUUUGCAGGUACCAUACGAAUAAGGACCGGCUAAUUCCGUGCCAGCAGCCGCGGUAAUACGGAAGGUUCGGGCGUUAUCCGGAUUUAUUGGGUUUAAAGGGAGCGUAGGCCGGAGAUUAAGUGUGUUGUGAAAUGUAGACGCUCAACGUCUGACUUGCAGCGCAUACUGGUUUCCUUGAGUACGCACAACGUUGGCGGAAUUCGUCGUGUAGCGGUGAAAUGCUUAGAUAUGACGAAGAACUCCGAUUGCGAAGGCAGCUGACGGGAGCGCAACUGACGCUGAAGCUCGAAGGUGCGGGUAUCGAACAGGAUUAGAUACCCUGGUAGUCCGCACAGUAAACGAUGGAUGCCCGCUGUUGGUACCUAGUAUCAGCGGCUAAGCGAAGGCAUUAAGCAUCCCACCUGGGGAGUACGCCGGCAACGGUG